CUGUACUAGCGACUUGAAUCCUGCCAAGAAUUCCGGGCCAGUGAUCAUUCACGCAAGCAAGUGCGAAAAAUAUGCUGAGACCAAGUACCCCCAUGAGGCUGCGUAUGAUGCUUUCCUCUGUGGCUCAGUUCUUUUGAAAGUGGCACAUCUGCUCCUGUGGAGAGGACACGG